AUCCUAUGGUGAGGACAGGCCAUGAUGUACUCUUGCAACCUUUCCCAUGCUUCUAGGAUGGAUUCCAUCCCUAUUUGCUGGAAACUGGAUAUCUUCCUGUGUAGGGC